rnacentral:rRNA from 1 species
GUCCACGCCGUAAACGAUGAUGACUGGACCGGUGCGGGUCUUACCCCGUAUCGGUCGAAGCGAAAGCGUUAAGUCAUCCGCCUGGGAAGUACGGUCGCAAGACUAAAACUCAAAUGAAUUGACGGGGGCGUCACACAAGCGGUGGAGCAUGUUGCUUAAUUCGAGGCAACGCGAAGAACCUUACCUGGGUUUGACAUGUACGUAUUAACUCUAUGAAAGUAGAGCCACAGUCGCAAGACCGGAACGUGCACAGGUGCUGCAUGGCUGUCGU